CACACAACAGCAGUAACUUAAAUUAUGAGUCUGCAGCACUUCUUGGAUAUUGUGCAUGCAGUGGUCGAAGCUUCUAUGAGUAAAACAUAUCGCCGUCACCCUGUCAUGGAUCUGACAACUUCAAGAAGAUAUCACGAAGGAGAAGGAUGGGAGCUGUUCUUCCAGAUAUCAGUGUUCCAUUACAGAGGAUUACCGUUGUUCCACUAUUUAGCAUGUUUUAGUACUUGAACACUUACAUCGGUCAUUGUUACUGAUACAUCACCGCAAAAUUGCUGGAAGUUGUACUGUUAAAAAACACAUUGCAAUAGAUGAUUGUAUAAAGUGCUGUUUUGUGCAUUGUGUGUUAAACAAAGGUGUAUUUGUAGAUGUAGUAUUACCGUCCAGCUAGUUAGUUCUUGUUAGUUUAUGUAUCCUCAACAAACAGUAUACAGAAAUAAACAAAUCUCUAUUGUGAGACUAUGAUGGGCUUUGAUUAAAUAUAUUGGCUGUAAAAUAGGUCAAUGUGUAAAUGUGGACCCUUUAAUUUUGUAAAUAGUAUAUAUAUGGACAAAUAUAUCAAACAUAUAAAAUAAGUUGUCUAUUUUGUUCAUUCUUGGUUUAUGCAUAUGAGGAGAUGUAGGUUACAUAGUGAAAGUCUGUGUCAGUUGGUGGCCUGUCUGUCUGUACAGUACAGUUCAGUCUAGUUAAUGUUGCCAUGGCAACGUGUCAGUGUUUAAAGGAAAUAUUCAGUACUUUGCAAAUGAAAAAUUGUAGUAUUUGUUUGGGAGCUAGAUGAUGCAUGUGUCCAGUGUGUGGGUAUAUUGUAUGGGUGUGUGGCAACUUCAAAACAUAUGCUCAUGUGAGAAAAAUGGUUUACAUUUUGUUUUUUAUUUCUCUUGUCUUGUGUUAAUUGCUUCUUGUCUGAAGUUCUUGUUUUGUUGGGACCACUGAUAAAGAUGUAUUUGUGUGUGUAAAUAUCUACAAACAUGCAGAUGUAUUAUUGCAAUAAAAAGCCCUGAUGCACAGG
rnacentral:lncRNA from 1 species